GUGGGACACAAAACCAUUGCACAAAAUCAGUGUGUUUAUAAUAAACAUUCCCUAUGUUAAGACCAUGCAUGUGUCCCCAGACUCUGUACAUUCCCCAGGCCUGGUUUUAUAGAUACUGGUGAUCAAU
rnacentral:snoRNA from 1 species